GGGGAUGUAGCUCAGUGGUAGAGCGCGUGCUUUGCAUGCACGAGGUCCCGGGUUCGAUCCCCGGCGUCUCCA
rfam:Chlorocebus sabaeus isolate 1994-021 chromosome 17, whole genome shotgun sequence.